rnacentral:rRNA from 1 species
GACGAACGCUGGCGGCGUGCUUAACACAUGCAAGUCGAACGGAAAGGCCCCUUCGGGGGUACUCGAGUGGCGAACGGGUGAGUAACACGUGAGUAACCUGCCCUUGACUUCGGGAUAACUUCAGGAAACUGGGACUAAUACCGGAUAGGAAUCCUUGCUGCAUGGUGGGGGUUGGAAAGCUUCGGCGGUUUUGGAUGGACUCGCGGCUUAUCAGCUUGUUGGUGGGGUAGUGGCUUACCAAGGCUUUGACGGGUAGCCGGCCUGAGAGGGCGACCGGCCACAUUGGGACUGAGAUACGGCCCAGACUCCUACGGGAGGCAGCAGUGGGGAAUAUUGCACAAUGGGCGGAAGCCUGAUGCAGCAACGCCGCGUGCGGGAUGACGGCCUUCGGGUUGUAAACCGCUUUCAGCAGGGGCGAAGCUUGUGGUGACGGUACCUGCAGAAGAAGCACCGGCUAACUACGUG